rnacentral:lncRNA from 1 species
GUCCCUCUACUUGUAAUUUCUCUAUUUGUGGGCUUUAUAUUUUUCUUUUUUCUUUUUUCUUUUUUGCAAUUUCAUCCUUUUUAAUUUUAUUGCCUUUGUCUUUUUAAUUCAUUUUUUUCUUAUUCUUUUAAAUGCUAUAUUCUUAUCAUUUUCUUGAUUUAUCUUUUUUUCAAUUUUGUCCCUCAAAAUUUAAUUUCAUUUAGUUUUUUUUAUCUAGUUUUGGUCCUUGUUCUUUCAAUAACCUUUUUUAAAUCUUUUUCUUAGUUUUUUUUUUCAAUUUAGCCCUUGAUUAUUUUCUUUCAUUUGUUUUAUACCAUAUUUUGUCUGCAUUGUUUAAGUUUUAAAUUGUUUUACAAUUCAAUAUUUAACUUUACAAUUUUUUCGUGGUUUCCUUCCAAUAAGGUAG